rnacentral:rRNA from 1 species
UACGAAGGGGGCUAGCGUUGUUCGGAAUCACUGGGCGUAAAGCGCACGUAGGCGGAUUGUUAAGUCAGGGGUGAAAUCCUGGAGCUCAACUCCAGAACUGCCUUUGAUACUGGCGAUCUCGAGUCCGGGAGAGGUGAGUGGAACUGCGAGUGUAGAGGUGAAAUUCGUAGAUAUUCGCAAGAACACCAGUGGCGAAGGCGGCUCACUGGCCCGAUACUGACGCUGAGGCACGAAAGCGUGGGGAGCAAACAGG